rnacentral:tRNA from 1 species
AAGGCUUUAGCUUAAUUAAAAGUUUCUGGUUUGCGUCCAGGGGAAGUGGGGUAAUAUCCCGCAAGCCUUA